CUCUAGAAUCAGCGUCGUUGUGCGGCCGUGUGUAUGAUCAGCGUGACUCAUACAAGUAGGAGGGAACCAAAGUCAAAAUAUUUAAUUGCAGCACAAUAUUCUCUUUAAAAUGAGUAUCAUCUUUUAUAGAACUGUACGUUGUUCUGGGCGGUAGCCGCAAUGGGGAAGUCUAGGACUAAAAGGUUUCGAAAGCUUAACUCGGAGCUGGGGAUUGUCCCAAAUGCUUUGUAUAUAACAUUUCUUCUAAUCUUCCCAACAGCCCUGUGAGGCAAGAGCCGUAUUAUAUUGUGAGGAAACCGAGGCCCACAGAGGUUAGGUAAAGGGCCCAAGGUCACCAGUAAGUGCAGGAGGGAGGAUUCGGACCUGGGACUUCUGACCUUGGAGCCAUGUGCCUGCCCCUGGGCUGCCCUGCCAGUUUGUCUGUCUGCCAGUCAGUCAGUCUGUCUGUAUGUUUUUCUGA